GAUUUCAACUGAAAAAGUCAUCAACAAAAAAUUUGUAUAACUCAUCAAUAUCUAUAACUUUUAUUUUAGUUAUUUCUUCAUCCGAUAAAGUGAUAGUAACAUUGUUCACAAAAUUUACACCUCUCUCUUAUAAUUUAUGAAACCAUAUGGGAGAUAUGUAAAAUUUGUGAACAAUGUUACUAUCACUUUAUCGGAUUAAGAAAUGACACAAAUAAAAAUAGUAGAUCUAGAUGGAUUAUACAGCUUUGUUGUUGAUGACUUUUUCAGUUGAAAUC
rnacentral:pre_miRNA from 1 species